rnacentral:rRNA from 1 species
AGGAUGAACGCUGGCGGCGUGCUUAACACAUGCAAGUCGAACGAUGACUUUUGUGCUUGCACAAAAUGAUUAGUGGCGAACGGGUGAGUAACACGUGAGUAACCUGCCCUUAACUUCGGGAUAAGCCUGGGAAACUGGGUCUAAUACCGGAUACGACGGUCCACCGCAUGGUGGUCCGUGGAAAGCUUGAUGCGGUUUUGGAUGGACUCGCGGCCUAUCAGCUAGUUGGUUGGGGUAAUGGCCCACCAAGGCGACGACGGGUAGCCGGCCUGAGAGGGUGACCGGCCACACUGGGACUGAGACACGGCCCAGACUCCUACGGGAGGCAGCAGUGGGGAAUAUUGCACAAUGGGCGAAAGCCUGAUGCAGCGACGCCGCGUGAGGGACGAAGGCCUUCGGGUUGUAAACCUCUUUCAGCAGGGAAGAAGCGAAAGUGACGGUACCUGCAGAAGAAGCGCCGGCUAACUACGUGCCAGCAGCCGCGGUAAUACGUAGGGCGCAAGCGUUAUCCGGAAUUAUUGGGCGUAAAGAGCUCGUAGGCGGUUUGUCGCGUCUGCUGUGAAAGCCCGGGGCUCAACCCCGGGUCUGCAGUGGGUACGGGCAGACUAGAGUGCAGUAGGGGAGACUGGAAUUCCUGGUGUAGCGGUGAAAUGCGCAGAUAUCAGGAGGAACACCGAUGGCGAAGGCAG